UAAGAAAUAACUUUAAAAAGAAAAAACAAAUCAAAAGAAUGAGGGUCAAAUUAGAAAAAAUAAAACAACAAAAACUUUGAUUGAAGGAUGCAAUUGAAAGCCAAAAACUUUAACAAAAUGGCCAAGAAAAAAAUAAAAAAUUGAAAAAAUAUGAAUCGAAAUGAAAAACAAAACAAAUGAGAAAUUGUAAUUGAAGAACUAAA
rnacentral:lncRNA from 1 species